rfam:Camelus ferus unplaced genomic scaffold scaffold852, whole genome shotgun sequence.
GUGGGUAUAGCUCAGUGGUAGAGCAUGUGCUUAGUGUGCAUGAGAUCUGGGGUUUAAUCCCUAAUACCGCCA